rnacentral:piRNA from 1 species
UUGGUGUCUUUUAUCCAAAAA